rnacentral:rRNA from 1 species
UACAGGGGUGCAACGUUGCUCGGAAUCAUUGGCGUAAAGCGCACGUAGGCGGUUCGUUAUGUCGGAUGUGAAGCCCUUGGCUUAACCGAGGAAGUGCAUCCGAAACUGGCGAGCUAGAGUACGAAAGAGGAUCGCGGAAUUCCCGGUGUAGAGGUGAAAUUCGUAGAUAUCGGAGGAACACCGGUGGCGAAGGCGGCGAUCUGGGUCGAUACUGACGCUGAGGCGCGAAAGCGUGGGGAGCAAACAGGG